rnacentral:rRNA from 1 species
GACGAACGCUGGCGGCGUGCUUAACACAUGCAAGUCGAACGAAGUGGCGAACGGUAGAGUAAUACGUGGGUAACCUGCCCUCCUUUUUGGGAUAAGCCUUGGAAACGGGGUCUAAUACCGAAUAUCGGGGGAUGGGCUCGCGGCCUAUCAGCUUGUUGGUGGGGUGAUGGCCUACCAAGGCGGUGACGGGUAGCCGGCCUGAGAGGGUGACCGGCCACAUUGGGACUGAGAUACGGCCCAGACUCCUACGGGAGGCAGCAGUGGGGAAUAUUGCACAAUGGGCGCAAGCCUGAUGCAGCCAUGCCGCGUGUAUGAAGAAGGCCUUCGGGUUGUAAAGUGCUUUCAGCGAGGAGGCGUUACUCGCAGAAGAAGCACCGGCUAACUCCGUGCCAGCAGCCGCGGUAAUUC